rnacentral:rRNA from 1 species
GCAAUCACUUGUCUUUUAAAUGAAGACCUGUAUGAAUGGCAUCACGAGGGCUUAGCUGUCUCCUCUUUCAAGUCAAUGAAAUUGAUCUGCCCGUGCAGAAGCGGACAUAAGAACAUAAGACGAGAAGACCCUAUGGAGCUUUAGACACCCGGCAGACCCUGUUAAAUAACUGAACUAUCAGAUUAAAACAAAGCGGCCCCUGGCCUACAUGUCUUCGGUUGGGGCGACCACGGGGGAAAACAAAGCCCCCACGAGGAUUAAGGAAAACCUCCUUAUAACCACGAGCGACAGCUCUAAGUCUCAGAACUUCUGACCAAAAAGAUCCGACACCAGUCGAUCAACGGACCAAGUUACCCUAGGGAUAACAGCGCAAUCCCCUCCCAGAGUCCCUAUCGACGAGGGGGUUUACGACCUCGAUGUUGGAUCAGGACAUCCUAAUGGUGCAGCCGCUAU